rnacentral:rRNA from 1 species
AUUGAACGCUGGCGGCAUGCCUUACACAUGCAAGUCGAACGGCAGCACGGGAGCAAUCCUGGUGGCGAGUGGCGAACGGGUGAGUAAUGUAUCGGAACGUACCUUUCAGUGGGGGAUAACGUAGCGAAAGUUACGCUAAUACCGCAUAUUCUGUGAGCAGGAAAGCAGGGGAUCGCAAGACCUUGCGCUGAUUGAGCGGCCGAUAUCAGAUUAGCUAGUUGGUGAGGUAAAGGCUCACCAAGGCGACGAUCUGUAGCGGGUCUGAGAGGAUGAUCCGCCACACUGGAACUGAGUCACGGUCCAGACUCCUACGGAGGCAGCAGUGGGGAAUUUUGGACAAUGGGCGCAAGCCUGAUCCAGCCAUGCCGCGUGAGUGAAGAAGGCCUCGGUUGUAA